rnacentral:rRNA from 1 species
UCAUAUGCUUGUCUCAAAGAUUAAGCCAUGCAUGUCUCAGUGCAAGCCGUCCACUAUAUUACCUUAUAGUACACGGUGAAACCGCGAAAGGCUCAUUAAAUCAGUUAUGGUUCCUUAGAUCGUGCACACGUUACUUGGAUAACUGUGGUAAUUCUAGAGCUAAUACAUGCCGACAGAGUUCCGACUAGUGCCGGGCACGCGCGCACACAUAUACACGUGCGUGCGGCUCAACCCGCCGCCUUGGUACUGUGCGUUGUGUGCGUGUCCGGAGUACGGAAGGAACG